UGGGGAAUUUUGGACAAUGGGGGAAACCCUGAUCCAGCCAUCCCGCGUGUGCGAUGAAGGCCUUCGGGUUGUAAAGCACUUUUGGCAGGAAAGAAACGUCAUGGGUUAAUACCCCGUGAAACUGACGGUACCUGCAGAAUAAGCACCGGCUAACUACGUGCCAGCAGCCGCGGUAAUACGUAGGGUGCAAGCGUUAAUCGGAAUUACUGGGCGUAAAGCGUGCGCAGGCGGUUCGGAAAGAAAGAUGUGAAAUCCCAGAGCUCAACUUUGGAACUGCAUUUUUAACUACCGGGCUAGAGUGUGUCAGAGGGACGUGGAAUUCCGCGUGUAGCAGUGAAAUGCGUAGAUAUGCGGAGGAACACCGAUGGCGAAGGCAGCCUCCUGGGAUAACACUGACGCUCAUGCACGAAAGCGUGGGGAGCAAACAGG
rnacentral:rRNA from 1 species